rnacentral:rRNA from 1 species
UACGGGGGGGGCAAGCGUUGUUCGGAAUUACUGGGCGUAAAGGGCCAGUAGGCGGCCAACUAAGUCGGAUGUGAAAUCCCCAGGCUCAACUUGGGAACUGCAUCCGAUACUGGAUGGCUUGAAUUCGGGAGAGGGAUGCAGAAUUCCAGGUGUAGCGGUGAAAUGCGUAGAUAUCUGGAGGAAUACCGGUGGCGAAGGCGGCAUCCUGGACCGACAUUGACGCUGAGGAGCGAAAGCGUGGGGAGCAAACAGG